rnacentral:rRNA from 1 species
GACGAACGCUGGCGGCGGGCUUAACACAUGCAAGUCGAACGGAAAGGCCGUGCUUGUGUGGGGUGCUCGAGGGGCGAACGGGUGAGUAACACGUGAGUAACCUGCCCUUGACUUUGGGAUAACUUCAGGAAACUGGGGCUAAUACCGGAUAGGAGCUCCUGCUGCAGGGUGGGGGUUGGAAAGUUUCGGCGGUUGGGGAUGGACUCGCGGCUUAUCAGCUUGUUGGUGGGGUAGGGGCUUACCAAGGCUUUGACGGGUAGCCGGCAUGAGAGGGUGACCGGCCACCUUGGGCCUGCGAUACGGCCCAGACUCCAACGGGAGGCAGCAGUGGGGAAUCUUGCCCAAUGGGAGGAAGCCUGAUGAAGCAACGUCGCGUGCGGGAUGCCCGCCUUCGGGUUGUAAACCGCAUUCGCCUGUGACGAAGCGUGAGUGACGGUAAUGGGUAAAGAAGCACCGGCUAACUACGUG